GCAGACACAUUCCAGCCAAUCAGCAGCAGACCCUCCCUCCCAGACCCUCCCACCUCCUGGACAGCUCACUAAGAAUGCAGCUUCACAAAAUGGAUGCUGUCCAGGAGGUGGGAGGGUCUGGGAGGGAGGGUCUGCUGCUGAUUGGCUGGAAUGUGUCUG